rnacentral:tRNA from 1 species
AUUUAUAUAAUAUAAUAAGUAUAUAUGACUUCCAAUCAUAAAGUUUAAAUAAUUAAUAUAAAUA